CUGGUUGAUCCUGCCAGUAGUCAUAUGCUUAUCUCAAAGAUUAAGCCAUGCAUGUGUAAGUAUGAACAAAUUUAGACUGUGAAACUGCGAAUGGCUUGUUAAAUCAAUUAUAGUUUGUUUGAUGGUAUUUGCUACUCGGAUAACUGUAGUAAUUCUAGAGCUAAUACGUCAAACAAACCCCGACUUCUGGAAGGGAUGCAUUUAUUAGAUAAAAGGUCGACGCGGGCUUUGCUUGUUGCUCUGAUGAUUCAUGAUAACUCGACAGAUUGCACGACCUUUGUGCCGGCAACGCAUCAUUCAAAUUUUUGCCUUAUCAACUUUCGAUGGUAAGAUAGUUGGCCUACUAUGGUGGUGACGGGUGAUUGAGAAUUAGGGUUCAAUUCUGGAGAGGGAGCCUGAGAAACGACUACCACAUCCAAGGAAGGCAGCAGGUACGUAAAUUACCCAAUCCUGACACGGGGAGGGAGUGACAAUAAAUAACAAUAUCGUGCUCUAUGAGUCUGGUAAUUGGAAUGAGUACAAUCUAAAUUCCUUAAUAAGGAUCCACUGGACGGCAAGUCUGGUGCCAACAGCCGCGGUAAUUCCAGUUCCAAUAGCGUAUAUUUAAGUUGUUGGAGUUAAAAAGCUUGUAGUUGGACUUAGGGGUGGGUCAACCGGUCAGCCUCACGGUGAGCACCGGUCUGCUCGUCCUUACUGUCGGUAAUGCAUUCCUGGCCUUAAUUAGCUAGGUCGAUCCUCCAGCGCUGUUACUUUAAAGAAAUUAGAGUGCUCAAAGUAGGCCUACGCUUGUAUACAUUAGCAUGGGAUAACAUCAUAGGAUUUCGAUCCUAUUGUGUUGGCCUUCGAGAUCGGAGUAAUGAUUAACAGGGACUGUUGGGGGCAUUAGUAUUUCAUAGUCAAAGGUGAAAUUCUUGGAUUUAUGAAAGAUGAACAACUGCAAAAGCAUUUUCCAAGGAUGUUUUCAUUAAUCAAGAACAAAAGUUGGGGUCUCGAAGAGGAUCAGAUACCGUCCUAGUCUUAACCAUAAAUGAUACUGACCAGGGAUCAGCGGAUGUUGCGUUUAGGACUCCACUGGCACCUUAUGAGAAAUCAAAGUCUUUGGGUUCUG
rnacentral:ncRNA from 1 species